rnacentral:rRNA from 1 species
CGGCCAGACUCCUACGGGAGGCAGCAGUGGGGAAUAUUGCACAAUGGGGGAAACCCUGAUGCAGCGACGCCGCGUGAGUGAAGAAGUAUUUCGGUAUGUAAAGCUCUAUCAGCAGGGAAGAAAAUGACGGUACCUGACUAAGAAGCCCCGGCUAACUACGUGCCAGCAGCCGCGGUAAUACGUAGGGGGCAAGCGUUAUCCGGAUUUACUGGGUGUAAAGGGAGCGUAGACGGCAUGGCAAGUCAGAUGUGAAAGCCCGGGGCUCAACCCCGGGACUGCAUUUGAAACUGUCAGGCUGGAGUGCAGGAGAGGUAAGUGGAAUUCCUAGUGUAGCGGUGAAAUGCGUAGAUAUACGGAGGAACACCAGUGGCGAAGGCGGCCUGCUGGACAAUAACUGACGCUGAGGCGCGAAAGCGUGGGGAGCAAACAGGAUUAGAUACCCCCGUAA